UACGUAGGGUGCGAGCGUUAAUCGGAAUUACUGGGCGUAAAGCGUGCGCAGGCGGUUUUGUAAGCCAGAUGUGAAAUCCCCGGGCUUAACCUGGGAAUGGCAUUUGGGACUGCAAGGCUUGAGUGCGGCAGAGGAGACUGGAAUUCCUGGUGUAGCGGUGAAAUGCGCAGAUAUCAGGAAGAACACCCGUGGCGAAGGCGGCUCUCUGGGACGGUACUGACGCUGAGACGCGAAAGCGUGGGGAGCGAACAGG
rnacentral:rRNA from 1 species